UACGAAGGGGGCUAGCGUUGCUCGGAAUCACUGGGCGUAAAGCGCACGUAGGCGGAUUGCUAAGUCAGGGGUGAAAUCCUGGAGCUCAACUCCAGAACUGCCUUUGAUACUGGCGACCUUGAGUCCGGGAGAGGUGAGUGGAACUGCGAGUGUAGAGGUGAAAUUCGUAGAUAUUCGCAAGAACACCAGUGGCGAAGGCGGGUCUCUGGACAGUUCCUGACACUGAGGCACGAAGGCCAGGGGAGCAAACGGG
rnacentral:rRNA from 1 species